GGUGGCUCAGUGAUAGAGCACCUGCCUUGCAUGCAUGAGGCCCUGGGUUCGGUUCUCAGCACCA
rnacentral:tRNA from 1 species